UAAUAGGAAAAACUUAUUCGAGGGCUAUCCAGAAGCCAUCUGAGGAGUACUCGUCAGUACUGUUCAGACCUCUUAUUUCAUUUGACGGAAUCGUGUCGAGUGGAUAUUCAUAAUAAAUUCACUGACGUGAGCUUCUAUGUGUUGUAAUUUACAUACAUACUUAUAUUGUGCUAAAGAAACAAGAAUCAGAUUUUGCAUAUUCUAUGUGAUUUGGCAAUACAAAUAUCGUGAAUAAAUCGUCUUUUAAAGUACAUCUCUGUUAACAAUCUUCCGAAUAAAAUUUAAUAUCACUUUGUUUUAGGAAAUUAAGGUGCAUAAAAAGAAAUAAAAUUGAGUCAAACUCUAGUAGCAGCAGUAUUAAUUCUCCUGGAACACUAACUACAUCAACUAUGGCGAAUCCGUACGCUAUGGGAACCCUAUAUC
rnacentral:misc_RNA from 1 species